rnacentral:rRNA from 1 species
GUUUGAUCCUGGCUCAGGAUGAACGCUGGCGGCGUGCCUAAUACAUGCAAGUCGAGCGAAUGGAUUAAGAGCUUGCUCUUAUGAAGUUAGCGGCGGACGGGUGAGUAACACGUGGGUAACCUGCCCAUAAGACUGGGAUAACUCCGGGAAACCGGGGCUAAUACCGGAUAACAUUUUGAACUGCAUGG